GUUCUCCGCAAUAUUAAAAAACAACCUCCUUUUAUUUCCUACCGCGCGGCCUCAAUGAAGGUCAUGAACCCGUCCGCUCCCACGAACCCCUCCCUCUUAUCUUCUCUCUCGCGCUCCCUCUCGCACGGCGGCCACUUCCCUGCAGUGGGACUAUCAACUCAUUGUUGUCGUGGAAUUGGGUCCUCAAAUCUGUAUCAACUUUAAUUGGCGAGCCCAGAGGCUGAAAUUGCAUUAUAUACCCUAUGUUGCUGUUGGGUCCGUAUCCCGUUAAAUGUUAAUAUCAAGUGCUAUCAUCUUGGAGACACAAUUGGAUCUGCAUUUCCUAUUGCAGAGUGUUGAAUAUCUGGUAGAAGUAUCCUGUUACUUCCCUGCAUAGCCAUGAGUUAUAUGUGUGAGAAUAUAUAAAUCAAUAAAAAGUUUGGUAGUGUGUGAUAAAAACUUGCAAUGAUGGUCAUAAACGUUUGUGAUUAUCUUCUAUAUUUUUUUCCCUUCUAGAUAGGUAUCUAUCUUUUACAUCCAGUGUACAUAAGUUGCACGUUUGGUUCUUUUUAAUAAAGAUUUCUUGUUUAUAGAAAGAAGGUAAAUAAUCUAUGCAAAGAACCAUUAUUUUCUGGGA